rnacentral:rRNA from 1 species
UGGGGGAUAUUGCACAAUGGGCGAAAGCCUGAUGCAGCGACACCGCGUGGGGGAUGAAGGCCUUCGGGUUGUAAACUUCUUUUGCUCUGAACAAGGCGCACCAUGGGGUGUGUUGAGUGUAGGGGUUGAUUAGCGCCGGCUAACUACGUGCCAGCAGCCGCGGUAAUACGUAGGGCGCGAGCGUUGUCCGGAAUUAUUGGGCGUAAAGGGCUUGUAGGUGGCUGGUUGCGUCUGUCGUGAAAGCUCAUGGCUUAACUGUGGGUUUGCGGUGGGUACGGGCUGGCUUGAGUGCAGUAGGGGAGGCUGGAAUUCCUGGUGUAGCGGUGGAAUGCGCAGAUAUCAGGAGGAAUACCGGUGGCGAAGGCGGGUCUCUGGGCUGUUACUGACACUGAGGAGCGAAAGCAUGGGGAGCGAACAGG